rnacentral:tRNA from 1 species
AGGCCCUUAGUUUAAAUAAAACAUUUGAUUUCGGCUCAAAAACUUGUGGUUAGAGUCCACAACGGCCUU